rnacentral:tRNA from 1 species
GUUUCUAUAGUUGAAUAACAACGGUGGUUUUUCAUGUCAUUGGUCUAGGUUAAAAUCCUGGUAGAAAUU